GACGAACGCUGGCGGCGUGCUUAACACAUGCAAGUCGAACGGAAAGGCCCUGCCUUUGUGGGGUGCUCGAGUGGCGAACGGGUGAGUAACACGUGAGUAACCUGCCCUUGACUUUGGGAUAACUUCAGGAAACUGGGGCUAAUACCGGAUAGGAGCUCCUGCUGCAUGGAGGGGGUUGGAAAGUUUCGGCGGUUGGGGAUGGACUCGCGGCUAAUCAGCUUGUUGGUGGGGUAGUGGCUUACCAAGGCUUUGACGGGUAGCCGGCCGGGGAGGGUGACCGGCCACAUUGGGACUGAGGUACGGCCCAGACUCCUACGGGGGGCAGCAGUGGGGAAUAUUGCACAAUGGGCGGAAGCCUGAUGCAGCAACGCCGCGUGCGGGAUGUCGGCCUUCGGGUUGUAAACCGCUUUCGCCUGUGACGAAGCGUGAGUGACGGUAAUGGGUAAAGAAGCACCGGCUAACUACGUG
rnacentral:rRNA from 1 species